rnacentral:rRNA from 1 species
ACGCUGGCGGCGUGCCUAAUACAUGCAAGUAGAACGCUGAAGGAGGAGCUUGCUCUUCUGGAAGAGUUGCGAACGGGUGAGUAACGCGUAGGUAACCUGCCUCUUAGCGGGGGAUAACUAUUGGAAACGAUAGCUAAUACCGCAUAAAAGUCGACAUUGCAUGAUGUUGACUUGAAAGGUGCAACUGCAUCACUAAGAGAUGGACCUGCGUUGUAUUAGCUAGUUGGUGAGGUAACGGCUCACCAAGGCGACGAUACAUAGCCGACCUGAGAGGGUGAUCGGCCACACUGGGACUGAGACACGGCCCAGACUCCUACGGGAGGCAGCAGUAAGGAAUCUUCGGCAAUGGGGGCAACCCUGACCGAGCAACGCCGCGUGAGUGAAGAAGGUUUUCGGAUCGUAAAGCUCUGUUGUAAGAGAAGAACGAGUGUGAGAGUGGAAAGUUCACGCUGUGACGGUAUCUUACCAGAAAGGGACGGCUAACUACGUGCCAGCAGCCGCGGUAAUACGUAGGUCCCGAGCGUUAUCCGGAUUUAUUGGGCGUAAAGCGAGCGCAGGCGGUUAGAUAAGUCUGAAGUUAAAGGCUGUGGCUUAACCAUAGUACGCUUUGGAAACUGUUUAACUUGAGUGCAGAAGGGGAGAGUGGAAUUCCAUGUGUAGCGGUGAAAUGCGUAGAUAUAUGGAGGAACACCGGUGGCGAAAGCGGCUCUCUGGUCUGUAACUGACGCUGAGGCUCAAAAGCGUGGGGAGCAAACAGGAUUAGAUACCCUGGUAGUCCACGCCGUAAACGAUGAGUGCUAGGUGUUGGGUCCUUUCCGGGACUCAGUGCCGCAGCUAACGCAUUAAGCACUCCGCCUGGGGAGUACGACCGCAAGGUUGAAACUCAAAGGAAUUGACGGGGGCCCCGC